AUAUGAGGGACUUAACUCUAAAGAGAUGAGUGUCACUAUUCAGUAGCGGGCAGGUGUGAAACAAUGAAGUUCCUGCUCAUCGCCUCGCUCUAUCUCGUCUCAUCUUGGGGUGUCCCAUCAGGCGUACCUGUUGUGACCCAGACUCCUGAUGUCUCUGUCACUGAGGGGGAGACAGUAAACAUCACCUGCUGCUGGACAGUAAAGUUUGAAAGAAUGAGCGUUACCUGGCUGAAGAAUCAAACAGUGAUAAAGACUGAACUGAAAUACCCAAAUAACUCUCAAGCAUCUCUGCAAAAGGAGAGAUCUGGAUGCUCAUAUUUGACCUUUAUGAAUAUUACAAGAGAGGAUUCAGGGAGAUACACCUGCAGGUUGUCUGUGGAGGUACCUGAAUUGCAGAAGUAUCAAGGAAAUGGUACCGUCAUCACAGUCACAGCCAGAGACAACAACAACGAAGAUUCCAAUGCAUCAGCAGACAACACCGACCUCCCCAAUACUAGAGCCCUCCAUCCAGACUAAAACAAUAUUCCUGUCCCCUAAAAAAGCCUCCUGUCUGUCUUGGUGUUGUCUUUUACCUGACUAGUGGCAUCAUGAAUACAACACAAGGAUUUUAUUGGCACAGUGCAGCAGCUGGGAACAUGUAGUGCUUUUGAGCUGCCAUAAAAUGACUAUUUCACACUUGGUUCCUUGUCUGACAACAGAAACAUCAAACCAUGUCACUUAGUUAUUGUGGCUGUGUUAAAACACAGCACAGGUGAUCACAGAGUGCAGAAGGCUGCAUGGAGCCAACCCAUUGUGCAGCUCUUGGCAUUACCCUGUAUUUAUGUAGAUUUUCUCAGACACUUUGGUGAGGUCUCUUAUCCCAUUCGUUACCAGAUGUUGCAUAUGACGCACAGUAAUUGAACAGAAGAAGAAGAAGAGCGUCAGCUGUUUCUUUGCGGGCAGAAUCUCUAUAAAAUCCACCUGGAAACGCUUGUGUGGAUGCAAGUUUCUCUCACAUGAGAACAGCAUUUUAACAAUGUAACAGUGUACUGCAAACGUAACUUUGCAGCUGUCUCUGUGGAUGAAUUUCAGGUGUAGUGCUCGUAUAUCUCCUGAGGUGCCUGCCCAUCGUUGCCCUCAUCUCAACCUUCUUCUGCCUCCACAAGUUAGGAACCAAAGCUCGGCAACGCGCUUUAGCUGCUCCUGGAAAUAAAGCCCCUGCAGCCCAAAGAACAGAAGACGAAGACCAAGAAGAAGAAGAGGAGAGAGGCGAGAGGGAGACAGAAGCAAAGUGAAGAAGGAAACAAGCAUGCAGUCACAUUCUGACAUCAGUGAUGUCACUUCUGUUUAAAGUUCAGUCUGAAUUUAUCUGUCAGACGUUAACUGGAGGGGAAGGACAGAAGCUGUGGCUUUUCACACUUCUGGAUGAAUAAAUGAUGCAUGAUAUGUGGCCUGGUGGGUGGGUGGUGUGGUGUGUUUGGCGUUUGGCUCUUUUUGUAUCUCAAACUAAAACUGACGACAAACUGAUAACAACUCUUAGACAUCUGGAAUGUGACGGCGAAAACAUAAAAUAAAAUGUUAUAGUCUGUGCAAGGUUUUCUUUCUUUUCUCUUUGUGCUAAAACCCUGUGUCUAUUUACUUCCUGGAAUUAAUUAAAAAUCUUUUGAAUAAUGGAUCAAAUGUAUUUAAUGUAUUUAUUGAUUACUCCUACAUGAAGUAUAAAGAUCGUUUUUCUCCUCUGGCAAAACAUUUAAAUGAAUCUUAAUCUCUAACUUCAGUGCACUUCAAUAGGAAUGUUGAAUCAUCAGUUUCAUUUCAUAUUUAGCAUUACAUGCUCAUAAAGGCAAUUCAAUAAACCAAACUUUUCCAAAACUAUGU